rnacentral:rRNA from 1 species
UACGUAGGGGGCGAGCGUUAUCCGGAAUUACUGGGCGUAAAGCGCACGCAGGCGGUUCGCCAAGUUUGGAGUGACAGUUGUCGGCUCAACCGACAAAGGACUUCAAAAACUGGUGAACUUGAGGACGAGAGAGGAACAUGGAACUCCAGGUGUAGUAGUGAAAUGCGUAGAUAUCUGGAAGAACACCAAUGGCGAAGGCAAUGUUCUGGCUCGUUUCUGACGCUCAGGUGCGAAAGCCAGGGGAGCGAACGGGAGUUAGAAA